rnacentral:rRNA from 1 species
GACGAACGCUGGCGGCGUGCUUAACACAUGCAAGUCGAACGGAAAGGCCCUGCUUUUGUGGGGUGCUCGAGUGGCGAACGGGUGAGUAACACGUGAGUAACCUGCCCUUGACUUUGGGAUAACUUCAGGAAACUGGGGCAAUUACCGGAAGGGGCCUCCUCCUGCAGGGUGGGGGUGGGAAAGUUUCGGCGGUUGGGGAUGGCCUCGCGGCUUAUCAGCUUGUUGGUGGGGUAGUGGCUUACCAAGGCUUUGACGGGUAGCCGGCCUGAGAGGGUGACCGGCCACAUUGGGACUGAGAUACGGCCCAGACUCCUACGGGAGGCAGCAGUGGGGAAUAUUGCACAAUGGGCGGAAGCCUGAUGCAGCAACGCCGCGUGCGGGAUGACGGCCUUCGGGUUGUAAACCGCUUUCGCCUGUGACGAAGCGUGAGUGACGGUAAUGGGUAAAGAAGCACCGGCUAACUACGUG